CAGGCCGCGCGUCACGGGCAGGACACGGCCGCUUCCCUUCCAGGUCUCCUGCUGGUGGGAACAGGAGCGCAUGUGCCCGGGAAGCUCGGUGGAUAAAGGCUGUCGCUCGCGCUUGUUUGGGAAACUGGGGGGAAGUCCUGAUGAAAAAGGGGUGCCUGGGAGUGGGCUGGAAGAGCUUUAAAAUGCCAGGCUGCUGGGGUAACUGUGGGGUGUGGGAUGCCCGGGCUCCCCAGACCCCUUCGUCAGCAGCUUCGCGUGGCCUCCUUCAUUCAUACAUCCCCAAGCCACAAUGGAGCAAGGCAGAGAACUGCUGUGGCCCCGAGGUAGGGGGAAGAGGGUCCGGAGUGGCUCCAGGCACCUACAAAUGUCUCCUAGGGAUGGGGUCUUUGAGGACCUCAGGCUGCCUUUCCCAUCACCUGUUUUAGUGACCUUCGUAUCUUCUCUUUUUAAUUUUUAUUCUUCUGAAAUCAGCCUAUUUAGGAAGUACAGUAUAAUACCUAUAAAUAUUCUCAGCCUCGGAAAGAUUUACUUUUAUAAAAUACACAACUAAAUAAGUCGUGCAAAACAUCUGAUGUAAGAUAUUUAUAAUACAGGCCUCUCCCUGAGCUAGUGGUGCCUGGAGCCAGGGUUCCCAAGAGUCCCGGGACCCAAGUGCACAUCACAACCUGCAGAAGAAUCAACACCUCAUUCAGACACUUAACCCUGUGAUGUCAAUAUCUGUAGAUACACAUGAGAUUGGCAAAGUAGAGAUGUGUUUUCAGAGUCCUCUUGAUUUCACAGUGGCUUUUUGUCAUUUUUUUUGGUUGUUCAUUUCAAUUAGUGGACAGUAAGAACACCUGUGCUACCCGUGAGCAGCCAGCACAAUGUAUUCUGACAUCAAACAGCUCCUUAGAAAGUCUGGGAACCCUGCCAUGAGACGUCAUGCAAAUCCAGUUGAGAGUCCUUUGUCUCUUAUGAUUCUAAACAAAAGUACCACCUUCUUCAGGGAAAGUGGAAUUGACCCACCCUGU
rnacentral:lncRNA from 10 species